rnacentral:lncRNA from 1 species
CGGAGAUGUCGUGAGGUCUGUUGCGGACGAGUCACUGGGUCGUGGUAUCGCUAGCGUCGCGGGGUAUGCAGGAUAGCGGUGUCGCGGGUAUGCAGAGUCGCGAGACUACGGGGUUGAGGAGUCGCGGGUGAGUCCUUGGGUUGCGAUAUCGCGAGCGUCGCGGGGUCGCUAGCGUCGCGGGGGCAGGAGGUUAGCAGGGCUUGCGGGCGCUGCAGGGGCACGUAGGAGCUGCG